CCUACGGGAGGCAGCAGUGAGGAAUAUUGGUCAAUGGACGAGAGUCUGAACCAGCCAAGUAGCGUGAAGGAUGACUGCCCUAUGGGUUGUAAACUUCUUUUAUAAAGGAAUAAAACGAGGCACGUGUGCCUUUUUGCAUGUACUUUAUGAAUAAGGAUCGGCUAACUCCGUGCCAGCAGCCGCGGUAAUACGGAGGAUCCGAGCGUUAUCCGGAUUUAUUGGGUUUAAAGGGAGCGUAGAUGGGUUGUUAAGUCAGUUGUGAAAGUUUGCGGCUCAACCGUAAAAUUGCAAUUGAUACUGGCAGUCGUGAGUACAGUGGAGGUAGGCGGAAUUCGUGGUGUAGCGGUGAAAUGCUUAGAUAUCACGAAGAACCCCGAUUGCGAAGGCAGCUUACUAAACUGUGACUGACAUUGAUGCUCGAAAGUGUGGGUAUCAAACAGGAUUAGAUACCCUUGUAGUC
rnacentral:rRNA from 1 species